rnacentral:rRNA from 1 species
AACGAACGCUGGCGGCAGGCUUAACACAUGCAAGUCGAACGAUGAAGCUGGAGCUUGCUCCGGUGGAUUAGUGGCGAACGGGUGAGUAACACGUGAGUAACCUGCCCUGGACUCUGGGAUAACCCCGAGAAAUCGGAGCUAAUACCGGAUAGGACCUUGGAUCGCAUGAUCUGGGGUGGAAAGUUUUUCGGUCUGGGAUGGACUCGCGGCCUAUCAGCUUGUUGGUGAGGUAAUGGCUCACCAAGGCGUCGACGGGUAGCCGGCCUGAGAGGGUGACCGGCCACACUGGGACUGAGACACGGCCCAGACCCCUACGGGAGGCAGCAGUGGGGAAUAUUGCACAAUGGGCGCAAGCCUGAUGCAGCAACGCCGCGUGCGGGAUGACGGCCUUCGGGUUGUAAACCGCUUUUAGUAAGGAAGAAGCCGCAAGGUGACGGUACUUGCAGAAAAAGGACCGGCUAACUACGUGCCAGCCGCCGCCGUAACAC